UGAACACAGCAGAUGGGGCUGGCUCAAGCAAUUAGGUGCCAGGGAUAUGAAUUGCCAGACCUAGAGGUGAUGGAGGUCUCAGCCCUGGCACACAUUAAGCACUGAAAUGUGGCUAUGGGUAACACAGGGAAGGAUGCUUUUCUAAAUAUGAAUUUUUCAAUCUGUCCCUUUAUGGUGUUGAAUAUAAACUCAGAAUUAGCAACUGUCUCAGUGGGCAUUCCCCACGCCCAUCAGUGGCAUGUCUUUUCUCGUACCUCUUGACCAGGCCUGUAUCUCCUCCAGCCCUGCUAAUCUGAACAGGGAGGCUGGAAAAGGAACCGGAGCGUGGCGUUCACUCACUACCCUACUGAAAAGCGAACAAAAUUCUCCCUCCCUAUUUUCUGAAGGGGGAGACCCCCCCCGGAGCUGGGAUCCCAACAGGCUCUCACUCCCGGGCUCGUACCACCUCCUCCUCCAGCCAGCAGCUCUAUCCCUUUAAAUCGCCGCCGGUGCCGCAGCCCGUGCCGGAAGGACCCUGGAACUGCAGCUGGUGGUGGCUAUUUAUACCCGGGCUGGAGCAGGGGGGAGCCGGACAGUGCGAGCGUGGGCAGGGAGAGGCCGCGGCGCACGGAGGGCGGGCGCCGGGAUUCCAUGUCUCCUUGAGGCGGUGGCUUGGUUGUGCAGGGGCUGGGUUUGGGGGUGACCUGCAAAGGGGCGUUUCCUUCCUUCCUGUCAUGGAUGUAGCAAGGGCCUGAAGGUGCCUGCCCAGCCCGAGGCGCCCCGGGCGGCGGCCGCGCUAGCUCCGAGGAUCGUGCCCGUACAGACGCUGCCAUGGCCACGGCGGUGUCCUCCACCCCGGGAGGCAGCGGGCGAGCUCUCGGGCGCUCGGCCGCGUUCUCCCCGCUCAGCCCGACCCGGCUCAGCCGGCUGCAGGAGAAAGAGGAGCUGCAGCAGCUCAAUGACCGCCUGGCCGCCUACAUCGACCGGGUGCGGGCCCUGGAGGCCGAUAAAGCCACGCUGCAGCUGCGCCUGGCGGAGCUGGAGGAAGGGAGCAGCCGGGAGCUGGGCAACCUGCGGCUCCGCUACGAGACCGAGCUGGCCGAUGCCCGCAAGGCGCUGGACUGCAUCGCUAUCGAGCGGGCCACGCUGCAGGUGGAGCUGGGCAAGCUCAGCGAGGAGCACCGACAGCUGCACGCCAGGAAUUCUAAAAAAGAAGCUGACUUAAAUCUGGCACAGGCUCACAUAAGAGACGUUGAUGCUCAGCUGAACUCCAAGGAGGCUGACUUAGCAACAGCUUUGAGUGGAAAAAGAAGUUUGGAGGGCGACCUUCAAGAGUUAAAGGAUCAAAUAGUCACUCUUAAGUUGGCAUUGGAAGAUACCAAAAAGAAUCUCCAUGGAGAAAUGUUGAGGAGAGUGGACCUGGAAAACCAAAUGAAAACUGUGCAAGAACAAAUGACAUUCCAGAAACGCCUUCAUGAGGAUGAGCUCAAGGAAACAAAAAGAUUCCAUGAGAGCAGGAUAGCUGAAAUAGAAUCUGGCCGUCAGAGGGAGUUUGAGAGCAAACUUUCAGAUGCUCUGCAAGGACUCAGAAAGGAGCAUGAAGAACAAAUUCAGGAAUACAAAGAUGACUUGGAGCGCACGUUCAGUGCCAAAAUGGAGAAUGCUCAACUUUCUGCCGCAAAAAAUAGUGACUUUGCCAAUGCUGCUCGUGAGGAGUUGAUGGAAACAAAGAUGAGAGUUGACACUUUGACAUCCCAGCUUAAUCAUUAUCAAAGCCAGAACUGUGCGUUGGAGAACAGAAUAAGAGAAUUACAGGAGACCCUGGAUUAUGACCGUGAGAUGCAUCGAAGACAUAUGGCUGAAAAAGAUAAAGAGAUGGCACAAACACGGCGGCAGAUGCAAGCACAGUUGGAGGAAUAUGAGCAUCUACUAGAUGUGAAACUGGCUCUAGAUCUAGAAAUAAAUGCCUACAGAAAGAUGCUGGAAGGAGAAGAACAGAGGCUAAAACUGUCAUCUAGUCCAUCUUCCCAAAGUGUUGCAACGCAGGCAACAACCAGCCAUGGGCGUCGCUUCCUGCAUGGAAAAAAGAGAAAACUGAAAGAAUCCAAAAAGGGAGAGCACAGUGUCAGCUUUAAAAUUGUUCAGCAUGCAUCAUGUUCAGGAAAUGUGUCUAUAGAAGAAAUUGACACAGAAGGGAAUUUUGUCAAGCUUAAAAACAACUCGGAUGAGGAUCAAUCGCUAACUGGAUGGGUACUAAGACGACGGCUUGGAAGCUUGUCUGAAAUAACAUACAAAUUCCCUGCUCGGUUUGUCCUUCAGGCAGGCCAAGUAGUUACGAUCUGGGGUGCUGAUGCUGGUGUAAACCAGAGUCCUAGUGAUCUGGUGUGGAAAUCUCAGCAGUCUUGGGGAACUGGGGAUAACAUUGGUGUUACACUCAUCAAUGCUGAUGGAGAGGAGACUGCAGAACGGAAGGUCAUACAUGUAUCCAGAGGAGAAGAAGGUGGUGAACUGGAAGAGGAGUUUGAUGAAGAAGAAAUAACGGGGAGCGAAAUGGAGUUUCAUCGUCGGACCAAAAGAAGAAAAAAGAAAUGUUGUUUGGUGUCAUGAUUGUUUCCUGUGAGCAUCACAAAAUAGAACAAAGAAUAAACCACAUGUGAAUUGGUUAGAAGUGUCUCCAGCAAAAUGAAGAUCCUAGCUGUUCUGUCAUGUAACUAAGCCAAGGUAGUGACUACCUAGAACCACUCCUUAAACCAGAGUGACCCUUCAGACUGCAUGAAUUUUCAGCAGCUACUGGAACACAUGAAUCUUGGAUUCCCCCCCAUCAGAUGUGUUUGGAGAAAGCAUCCUCCAGAAUGUGAAACUUCCUACUUGUUGAUAUUGGGGCCUGCCUUCAAUGAAACUAGAUCCAAGUGCACACUUCCUUUUCCAAGUCUCUUGCCAUGAAUUGUGAUUUAUUCAUCCACAACUACUUGCCCGAAAGUUUACAAUAACCUCCUGCUAAGCAUGUCUCAUCCUAGCCAGGGAUGGGUAAAUCUCACAAAUUUAAUGGCUUCAGCUUUCUGAACUGAUUCAAAAUAUUUUCUCCAAAGCAGACUUAAGAACUGUUUCAAGCCUGACUGAAAUUUAAGUGGACAAAAUACUGCCUCAGCUUAUACCUUGUGCAGCUCCACUGAAUUGAAAGUCAGAGCAAAUUGUUAUCCUUGUUUCAAACACCCCAGGACUCAUUUUAUGUUUGGAGUCUGAUACUAAAGUUCCCUUGAUUGGUCUAAGCUGAUAGAUAGAAUAAUCUACUGGUGUAAAGUUUUAAAAUGAGCAAGCUAUUUGUAAAACAUGUAUUUUUAACUUGUAGUUAAAUAAACCAACCAUUAGGCUGUUUCUAUAGCCUAGUACCUGUUAACCUCAACGUCUAUUUAUUAAACUAUGUAAAGUAUUUGAAACUUUGAGGUGAGUAGCUUUGUACCAUAAAUGUGAACUAAAGUCUGAUGCCAACAUAGCACUAAUGUGGCUAAAUGCAUCAGUACUUAACUGCUUACUUGGCAAAACAUUAAUGGGGACAGAACUAAAUUAACUGAAUAGUUUUGGUAUAGCUAGAGAUCACACACUCCAAUGAGAAGUCUUGAUACCUUUUUUAAGAAAGUUCCAGUGUUAAACAUCUGAAAUAAGGAUGUGCCGUUUACACUGUCACUACUUCUGUAUUCAUAGUUGAGGUGAGGAUAACUUCUAUUUUGUCCAAUAGCUAGAUAUGUUCCCUAUUAGAGCACUGAGUUCCAGUGGAUUAAUAUACAGCAUUGUAACAACCUGCAGCUAAAAUGUCUAGCACACAGUGGGGUUGGUCAUGGGUAGCCACUCUAGUUAGCCACCGUAGCUUUUUUUUGUUGACCUAGUGGCUAUACUGAAAAGUGGGAAAUAGCCCAGCAAGAGUCCCUAGUUAAACAACACAAGUCUGUUUCCUUGCUAAAAAGGUGGCUGAUAAUGCAGCCCCAUCUGAGCACUGGAGCAGCUUUCAGAAUUCUUUGUUGCCUUGCCCAAAGUCUCUACUGUACAGUAUGUCUGAAUUUUAAGAUCUGUCCCAUGUUAGGACUGUGCUUUUUUAGAGUGAUUUAGAAUUCUCUUCAGUUAAACUGAUUUAAAAACAUAGCAUUUUAAGACACUGGACACCUAAAUGGUGAGUGAAUUUGGCCUUUCAUAUUUUAGCAGACUGAAAUCCUUCAUUUUGUUGCACCUUGUCACUUUAGAAGAACUUAAAAUAAGCUCUGUUUAUGAUCUUGCUGUGUUUAUAAUCUUGGGCUGUUCAAUUGAUUUUUUUUUACUAUUAAAGAUAUUUUCCAUGUACAUUA